rnacentral:misc_RNA from 1 species
CAAUUUUCACUUUCAAGGCAUAAAGAUCUCAAUAGUUGCUUGCUAGAACUUCACUCCCUUCAUGGUGUUUCAACUAAUUAUUCCUUUAUAUAAGGUCAUUAAUAAGUUAUAAAUAACUUGUUUUAUCAAGAUAGAUUUGAUAAAUAUUUGUUUUCUCAAAUUUGCUUCUAUUAUAGAUAAUUAUGAUUAAGUGAUUCAAUUUCAACUCCAUAGGCAUAUCUCAAAUUUCUAUCUUCAUUAAUGUAGCAUAUACUUUUUAAAAGAUUAAAAGGUCUUUAAAAGAAUUGUAAUGGGGUUAAAGGGA